rnacentral:lncRNA from 10 species
UUUUAAUUUGUCAUUUGAUUUCAUUACAGAAUUUCUGCUAGACUAUCUUGGGCUGCAUAGAAUAUAAGAAUAUGAGAUAAGUAAUAAAACAGUAAAUUGGAAAUUUGUCUUUUUAAAAAUAAAACAAAUUCUGUUUUGACCUAGUUCAGAGACUUCUGUGGCUAAAUAUGAUCUGUUCAUCAACAGUCUUAGAAGAAUCCUCAAAGAAAAAGUCCUUGGCAUUGGAGGACCUGAUCAUAAUAUGGGUGCCGGACUUUCCAACGAGAUGGCUUAAUCUCCAUCCACAGGGAUAGCACCCUGUUUGAAGGCCAAGGAAGAGACCUGGAGCCAGCAAACAAAACAUAUGGUCUAUUGAAAGGACUUACAGAGAAUUACAAGUGGAAUAAAAGGCAGGCUGUUUUCAGUCCCUGAUGAGUGUAAGUGUCUCAAAUGCCAACUCGCAAUUCUCCACCCCCAAAUGUCUGUAUGGGUAUUAAUAGCGACAUAAAUUGUGUUUGCCAAAUGAUAAUCAUAUCAACAAAUAUACUAAUAGGUGGCAAGUUGUUCCACCAACAGAGAGGAGAAAAUAUGAAGGUCAUAUAUAAUUUUCACCAUAAAAUAUGUUAAUCAAAAUAUACAGACUAAGACCCAUCAGAGUUUGUAGGAUAUGAUCAGAGAAGAAAGUGAUUAAUAUGGAUUUAUUCCAGUAAGACCGUACUUUUUACUAGAAGAGAAAUUGAAAAAUAUUCUAAGUGGAUUAUUAUAUAAGUUUCCUUUAAAACAUGAAAUAAAAUUUUCAAGUAAAAAAAAGAGUCUAAUAGAUUAAAAUAAGACAAAUGUCAGCUCCCCUGGAGAAGAGAAAGAUAAGCUGCAAAGUUGAUCCUUUAUGUGGCUAUCCUUCACAGCUCGCGUUACAAAUUUUGCUUUUUAUAUCAUCUGUCUUAGGAAGACAACCAAAAAUUACUAGUGUAGGCAUUUUGUUUUGAGCUCUAAACUAAUUUAUUUUUAAAAGGUAUUUGAAGUACAAUCUUAAUAAUAACACAUUUUAGCUUUUACGAUAUAUUUUAUUAAACAAUAUAAAUAAUGUCAAAUGACUGUUUAAAUUUAGUGUUAGGUUUGUUUUCCAUAGUGAUAAUUUUGGACUAAAAAUAAUAGUCCAUUCUUUUAUACUUACAUCAUUGCAAAAAACAGCAGGCUUAACACAACACUUUUAUGUUUGUGGUGUUUAAUAUUAUUUUCAGAGGAAUUGAUGCAUGUAACACUAAUAUCUGUCCAGAUACUUUCAUGCACAUGAGCACUGAAUGAUGGAUCAUGUAUAGGUUAUUGCUCUCAAGAUGUUAAUAAAAAUUAUGCCUAAGUGAAGGAUUAAAUACACGGAACUAGAAGACAGCAACAAAAAAAUUGUGUGCAUAGUGGAUAAAUUGAGCUAGAUUGCUAACUAGAUUUUGAGGAGAUAAGAAUAUAAUUAUGUAUAUGUAUUAAAUUGUUCUUAAGAAAUGUAGCAUUGAGAGAUGUGGUUGGCUGAGGAUAGAAUAUCUGGUACAUCAGUGUGAGCUGGUUGACAUGAGAAGGACUUGCUGUUUGAAUGAAAAACCUCAAAGCUGAAGCUGAGUUUAUCAACUGCCCAGAAAGAAGGAGGAGGAUACUUACAGAAAUCUAAUGAUUUUGAGACAUGCACUACCUCAAAAAUUUUAUUUUACGCACUAUUUGGUUGAUGUGUUGUGUGAAGAUCUUUCAUAGCAUCUAAUCAGGUAUAAUUCCUGAAUGACACUGAGUUUUAUAAUUUUUCUCCCACCCUAUUCUCACUAUAUAUGAAAUCCUUGAUUCUCCAUACUCCACUUGUUUUUAAUAUCAAUACACAUUUUUCUCCUAAUGUAUCACUCUAAUUGGCAAUAGCCACAUGACCUAGACUAGAAUAUUACUUAAAAUAUUUUGACUGUUAUAAUUAAAAGGUAAUUAUUUUUAUAAUUUGUGACUGCAAGUCAAUUUCACAGAGCAUGUACCAUGCCUUGAGAUUGGGGAAUAAUACAUUUUUGAAAAUUUAAGAAAAACAUCUAAUUUUGUUAUUAAAUAAAGAAUUACAUUCAAC